GUUUAACCUGCCCACUGAUUAUUUUAAUGGCCGCAGUAUAUUGACUGUGCAAAGGUAGCAUAAUCAUUAGUUUUUUAAUUGAAAGCUUGUAUGAAUGGUUGGACGAGAUGUAAUCUGUCUUUAAGUUAUAGUUAGAAUUUAAUUUUUAAGUUAUAAGGCUUAAAUGAAUUUAAAAGACGAGAAGACCCUAUAGAUCUUUAUAAAAAUAAAAAUUUAAUUUUUAAGGUUUAUUAAUUUUUAUAUUUUUAUAUUUAUUUUAUUGGGGUAAUAAAAAGAUUUAAUUAAUUCUUUUUUUAUUAAACAUUAAUAAGUGAUUUUAAUGAUCCAUUAUUUUUGAUUAUAAGAUUAAGUUACCUUAGGGAUAACAGCGUAAUUUUUUUUGAGAGUUCUUAUCGAUAAAAAAGUUUGCGACCUCGAUGUUGGAUUAAAAUUAAUUUUGGGUGUAGAAGUUCAAAGYUUUAGUCUGUUCGACUAUUAAAAUUUUACAUGAUCUGAGUUCAAACCGGUGUAAGCCAGGUUGGUUUCUAUCUUUAAUUAAUUAAUAUAUUUUAGUACGAAAGGACCAAAUAUUUAGUAUAUAAUAUUUAAAAGUUUGAAUAAAA
rnacentral:rRNA from 1 species